rnacentral:rRNA from 1 species
CCAACAGGGAUUGCCCCAGUAACGGCGAGUGAAGCGGCAACAGCUCAAAUUUGAAAUCUGGCCCUCUGGGUCCGAGUUGUAAUUUGUAGAGGAUGCUUUUGGUACGGUGCCUUCCGAGUUCCCUGGAACGGGACGCCAUAGAGGGUGAGAGCCCCGUCUGGUCGGAUACCACGCCUCUGUAAAGCUCCUUCGACGAGUCGAGUAGUUUGGGAAUGCUGCUCAAAAUGGGAGGUAUAUGUCUUCUAAAGCUAAAUAUUGGCCAGAGACCGAUAGCGCACAAGUAGAGUGAUCGAAAGAUGAAAAGCACUUUGAAAAGAGGGUUAAAUAGUACGUGAAAUUGUUGAAAGGGAAGCACUUAUGACCAGACUUGGGCCCGGUGAAUCAUCCAGCGUUCUCGCUGGUGCACUUCGCCGGCCCAGGCCAGCAUCAGUUCGCCGCGGGGGAAAAAGGCUUCGGGAACGUAGCUCCCUCGGGAGUGUUAUAGACCGUUGCAUAAUACCCUGUGGUGGACUGAGGUUCGCGCUCCGCAAGGAUGCUGGCGUAAUGGUCAUCAGUGACCCGUCUUGAAACACGGACCAAGGAGUCGUCUUCGUAUGCGAGUGUUCGGGUGUCAAACCCCUACGCGUAAUGAAAGUGAACGCAGGUGAGAGCUUCGGCGCAUCAUCGACCGAUCCUGAUGUUCUCGGAUGGAUUUGAGUAAGAGCAUACGGGGCCGGACCCGAAAGAAGGUGAACUAUGCCUGUAUAGGGUGAAGCCAGAGGAAACUCUGGUGGAGGCUCGCAGCGGUUCUGACGUGCAAAUCGAUCGUCAAAUAUGGGCAUGGGGGCGAAAGACUAAUCGAACCUUCUAGUAGCUGGUUUCCGCCGA